rnacentral:tRNA from 1 species
GCGGGUGUAGCUCAACGGACAGAGCAAUUCCCUUCUAAGGAAUAGGUUGAAGGUUCGACUCCUUUCACCCGUG